AGCUGAGGCAGGAUCAUGUGAACUCCAAUCUGGUGUCAGGCUGGGUGGUUGCCGAGGAACCACACGCCAGCAGGAGGAUGAGGGCAGUGGAACUGCUCCCUGCUUGCAUCCUCCAUCCUCCAGGCUCUCUGCAACCCAGCUUCUACCGGCUUGCAGCAUCCGUGGCGGGGACACCAUCCAUCUUCACAGUGCCACACACUGAGCCUGUCACAGUGCAUCACGCCUGCUCUCACACCAGCAUGGCUCCUUCUCUGACGCCCCCGACCAAGCCAAGGUCCAGAGCAAUGAAAGCAAAGCCACUUGGACCCAUCAGCUAGGUGUGCCCAGGGCAGCAGGGAUGGGCUUCCCGGCAGGGCUCGGAGCUGUGCCCCAAGCCCAGAGGCGGGCAGCAGCAAGCUGAAGCUCCUCUUCCCCAAAUGGCCCUCAUCCAUCAUUUCUGUAUUCCACUUCCCAGUCUUCAGGGCCAAAUCCUGCCCUUACCCCCAAAUUCUUCAAGGCAGAAUUUCCCAGGAGAACCUCCAGACACCACCGUGUGUCUCUUCGAUGCCUGUGACAUGCAGGUGCCCAGGCCCUGCCUGGGACUCACUGCCUCAGAAUCUCUUAGGGAUGAAGUCAAGAGGCUGUGUUUUUAGCCUUUCCCCUGGGGGUUCAGAGAGCACCACAUGCUUCCUUGGCUGGCUUGUGGCUUCUGAAAGGUGACAUCUAGAUGCUGUACUGCUUUGUGGCGAUGAGAGCUGGGCCAGGGCUCCUCACCCAGAAAGAGAAUGCUUGGGAAGCUUCAGAUGACAAGUGGGGACACAGGGUGGGUCUUUUUGGUGCCUCAAGUUAGCACCAUGUGUGAGGCACCGCGCCUUCCGCAGUGCCUUGAAACGCUCAGUGCAGCCCUGCCAGGCACACAUGAUCAUCCCAGCUUAACACUCGACGGAGACUCAAGGCCAUGCAGCUGGCAAGUGGCAGUGCUGGACCUGAGUGCAGUGUGUGUUCACUGCAUUUUAACAACAAUCAUAUAACUGAUGGGAGGUCCAGGAAUGGAUGAUGUGUGAGUGCCCAUCCCCCUCCCCGCUCCAGAGAGUGAGCUGCACGUGGAAGGAGGAGCUGGGUCCUCUUGUCCUUUGCCAAGGACAGUGCACACCCACUACAUCCAGCGCCUGAGAAUGAGAGGCUCUACAGCCCAUUUCUUUCUGCAGCCUGCCUGGAAAGCUGAAACCGGUGACUCCACUAGACGCUAAGGAACUGGGGGAGACAGACAGGAUACAAUGAAGCAACAGGAAGAGGAGUAGCAGCUAGAAAGCGACUGCUGUGACCGGGACCCAGCAGGCUUGGGAACAUCAGGAGGACAAGGAAAGACCUGUGCUUGGGGAGCCAGAAUCCUCACUGUCACCCUGAUCUUUCUCAUGCUCUGAGAAAAGGAAGAGACAGGUAGAGGGGAGAGGUGCGGCCAGGAGCCAGAGGCAGAAGGCCCAGCAGGAACGGUGAGACUGCACAGGAAGGAAGCGCACCAGGACAGUCCAGGUGACAGACCUGUCUCAUUAGACUGCUGCCUCAGACUCUGCUUCCCCUGCCCAAGGAGCAGGUGUCCUUUGCCUCCACCCUGGAAGACCAGGUCUCUGACUGCUCAGCCACUGCCAGCAUGGCAGAGGACAGUCUAAGCAGAGCAGCCUCCCAAGGCUGAUGGGGUCGGGGAGGUCGCGUAGGUGGGGUCAGAGGCUGCCCACUGAUGGAGUCAGGUCCUGGCCUGCUGUGACCUGUUGGGGUGUCACGGUGGAGCUGUCUGAAGCUGCCUGGGCUAUUUGUUUGGAGCCUUCACAUCUUCUCGUUCUUCAAGAAAGAAGUAACACUUGGAAAGUCUCAUUGCCCUUCUGUGCUAUGCAACACCAGAACUGCUUAGCUCGACUGCCCUCCCUCCUCCCCCACUCCACUCCCUGCCCUGGUCAUCAUCUGGUCUACUUGCUUCUCCUAUGACACCAACUGUUUUGGUUUCUACAGCCAAGUGAGACUACGUGGCAUGUGGAUCAGCACACUCUCAAGUCUCUGACACCUUCAGGCGUCCACCACCUCUGGCCACCAAGGGAGCCCCAGCAUCACUAACCCUCAGGGAGCAGGGACAUAAGGGGGGCCCUGCUGUCACUUCUCCGGGUUGACAGGUGUAGUCUGCCUCAGGAGUCUCCUUGGGGAGGGCAGUAUCAGGUGCACGGGGUGGUAAGGCUAGUGGGGACCAAUGUCCUAGGGAGUGAAGGGGGACGAGGACCAUAUUGUAUGCUUCUAUGAGGUUUUACAGGCAGUGCCAACCUGCUUUCCCACAGGAGGCACCAUGCACACUGCAGGCGUUCAGUGAACACUCAGAGCUAUGUCACCAUGCCGUUUGCACAGGCUGUAGUUGACUAUAUGACCAGAUGAAGUCUAGGUGUGUUUAUUUAAAGAGUGUGAGCUGGAAAGAUGGAAGAAUUAAAAUGCAACACUGUCAUUCAA